GCUUUCCUUGAUUAGACACUAACGCUCUCAGAGGUGGAAAAUUAUUAUUAUUAUUGUAAGAAUUGUUACCUUGAUAAUUACCUGAGUAGUUAGGCCUCUGUUGAUUCCAACCUUGAUUUUGCUGAGGAUGGUUGUAAUAGUUCUUGUUGUUGUUGUUGUUGUUGAUGUAUUUCACAUCCUCAAGCAUCUCAGGGCAGUGAUUACCUGAGUGUCCAGUAUCUCCACACUCCUCAAAAGUCAUGUGAGAAUCGU
rnacentral:lncRNA from 1 species